rnacentral:rRNA from 1 species
UACAGAGGUCCCAAGCGUUGUUCGGAUUCAUUGGGCGUAAAGGGUGCGUAGGUGGCGCGCUAAGUCGGGUGUGAAAUUUCGGAGCUUAACUCCGAGACUGCAUUCGAUACUGGUGUGCUUGAGGACUGGAGAGGAGACUGGAAUUCAUGGUGUAGCAGUGAAAUGCGUAGAGAUCAUGAGGAAGACCAGUGGCGAAGGCGGGUCUCUGGACAGUUCCUGACACUGAGGCACGAAGGCCAGGGGAGCAAACGGG